UGGAUUAGUGGCGGACGGGUGAGUAACGCGUGGAUAACCUGCCGUAUACAGGGGGAUAACACUUAGAAAUAGGUGCUAAUACCGCAUAAGCGCACGGUUCCGCAUGGAACAGUGUGAAAAACUCCGGUGGUAUACGAUGGAUCCGCGUCUGAUUAGCCAGUUGGCGGGGUAACGGCCCACCAAAGCGACGAUCAGUAGCCGGCCUGAGAGGGUGAACGGCCACAUUGGGACUGAGACACGGCCCAAACUCCUACGGGAGGCAGCAG
rnacentral:rRNA from 1 species